rnacentral:ncRNA from 1 species
CGGCGAGCGAACCGGGAACAGCCCAGAUUGAGAAUCGGGCGGUUGUGCCGUCCGAAUUGUAGUAUGGAGAGGCGUCCUCAGCGACGGACUGGGCCCAAGUCCCGUGGAAAAGGACGCCUCGGAGGGUGGGAGCCCCGUCCGGCCCGGACCGUGUCACCCCAUGGCUAAAUACAGGCGAGAGACCGAUAGCGAACAAGUACCGCGAGGG